UACCUACAGUGAAUGCCCUUGCCUUCUUGUACCAGGUGUGUUCUGUUCUUAGAAACACAAACCCAACUCAAACUGGGUUUAAAUGAUAAGGAAGAUUUAUUGAUUUAUGUAAGUAGUAGGACAGGCUUCAGGGGUGGUCUGGUUCAGUGGCUCAGUGAUGUCACAAAGAACCCCUAUUUCUCCUUUUCCAUGUUCUAUUGGGUCCUCUUCAUUCCAAGGCUGGCAUUACAAGACAGCUGCUGACCACCCCUGAGUUACCUGCCUCCUUGUCCACAUCUGAGAAACAAAUGACUCAUUUCUUAAGGUUUGAGGAUGGCAACAACUUAAAGUUUUCAAAGUCAACAGCAAAUUAACUGACCUAGAAACCAAAGCUGAGUUCAGACAGACAACCAGAUUUGCUUUGUCCUUGGAUUGUCAGUUCAAAACCUGGCUAAUUCUAAUUCAGUUUACAGUAAUAGCAAGUUGUAGACCAACUUUAAUCAUACAGAGACGCCAGUUACUGUGUUGUAAGGAUGCUCGAGCAGCUCUAUGGAGAGGCCUAGGUGGUGAGGAACGGAGGACUCCUACAGCAGUGUCAUGAAUGAGCCAUCUUGGAAAAUGCUCCUUUGGCUCUGGCCAAGCCUUCUGAUAACGGAAGCCCAGGCUGUCCCCUCGACUGCAACCUCAUGAGAGACUCUGAGGUAGAACCACCCACCUGAGCCUCUCCUGGAUUUAUGACCUGUAGAAAAAAUAAAUAUAUAUAAUGUAUUUUAA